UGAGGAAUAUUGGUCAAUGGGCGGAAGCCUGAACCAGCCAAGUCGCGUGAGGGAAGACGGCCCUACGGGUUGUAAACCUCUUUUGCCGGGGAGCAAUGCCCAGCUCGCGAGCUGGGAAGGAGAGUACCCGGNGAAAAGCAUCGGCUAACUCCGUGCC
rnacentral:rRNA from 1 species